GACUGUGAGGGUGAAAGCAGAGGCGGGGCGAUGCUUCUACGUGUCCAGGAAUAUCAAAGGUUGACAGCAAGCCGCCAGAAGUGGGGAGAGAAACGCGAGACAGAAUCUCCCUCACAGGCUCAGAAGGAACCAGCCCUGCCCACACCUUGAUCCGGGACUUCCAGCCUCCAGACUGUGAGACAACACAUUUCUCUGGUUUAAGCCACUCAGUCUGUGAUGCUUUGUUACUGCAGCCUUAGCAAAUUGACAUAGGGCCAUUGGGUCCUCCCUUGAAAGGUGGGGUGUUUGCUAGGGGGUGAAGGAGAAAGGACCUUCAUGUUCCCAGGUUAUGGGAAGCACAGGUGGACAAGGAAAUAGGCUUUGGGAAUGUCACUGGCUCAGGGUGGCUCCAGCUCAGAGGAUAGAAACAGAUGAGCCUGAAAGGUGGGCCAGAACUGAGGGCACAUUCAGGAAUGGCUUGAUCUGGGAGGCAAUGGGGAGCUUAUGUCAGCAGGAACUAAAGAAGAUGAGAGGGAAAACCAAACAUAUUAUUCCAUAAGAAUGAAGAAUUCUCUGCAAGCCUUUCAUGGGACCCAAGAAUGUGGGAGAGCAGGUGUAGCGCCUGGGAGGGGCGCUGUGAAGCCCAAACAACAAGCCGAUCCACGUGAAGACUGAAUAUUGGUGCUUCUGUAAUAAACCAAGUGGCUUAUUUUUCUCUCGACCUUUCCCACUCCCACUCCCACUCCCACUCCCAGCUGGAGCCGUGUGGCUGUACCUGGGGCUUCAGAUGCUCUGCCUGAGCUUGGGGCCUAGGCGGGGCCGGCUGUUCCUGCUAGCCAUGGAGGAGGAGAGGGCAUUAUUGCAGCUUGGCUCUUACAAAGUGAAUGAAAAAUCGCAUAAAAUAAGAGGAUUGAUUGGAUUCAGUGCAUUUUCAUGAAGUCCUAGUGAAUUUUAUAACUGAGUGGUUACUUUGCAAAAACAGGCAAGGCAUCUGUUUGCUUUUUUGUGGAAACUGUGAAACGUCAUCAUGAUUAAAAAGAGAGAAAGGAAACCCAACCUCCUGUAGCAAUAUUUGUUGAAAAGUGUGCACAUGUGCACAGGAAGCAUCCAGGCUGCAUUAGAAGACGGACCAGCGCAGGACCUGAUUCCUUUUAGCACAGCGUGGAUAAAGCAAUGGUAGAGGUGGGCACAAGACAGCGGGGGGAUGACGUCAGCCCGACCUGGGCAGCCGAGAAUGGCUUCCAGAGCAAGUGCACCUUGUCCUCCAACAGGAGCACGAGCAGGGGCCCGAUGGGGAGGCUCCUACAAAUCAAUGCCUGUGGACCACGGUUUCCAGAGCCCCCCGUGUGCCAGAGACUCCCGUUUGGGGCUGUGAGGGAUGCCAGGAACGUGUCCACAGCCCCCAGAUCCAGCAAAGGGCAUGGCUCGUGCUCCAGUGUGGACGGGAGGAUGGUUGCUUUCCCCCUGGCUCCCACAGCUGCCUGCCCUCCUCCAGGCCCCCUGGAGGGCUCACUCCUGUGCUCCCCGGAAACGGUGCAAAAAUGUCUCCACUUGCGUCUGCUGGCAGAGCUGGCCGCCUGUCUCCCACACUGUCACCUACGUCACAGAACUUGGAGACCGUAAGCCAAACUGCAGUCUGUCUCUGGUGCAUCUGGCUUCACCUCGCACCGCCUCUGCUGACACCCCAGCGCUGUUUGCCCCGCACCCAGGAAGUGCUCUGAAGCCACAGUGGCUCGUUCCCCACCUGCUCCGGGGGAGUCUGAGAGAGCAGUUGAGGCCACGUUUGGAAUCUGUCUGACAGGAGUCUUGGGAGCCUGAGCCUGAGUAUGUCAGAUGGUGUGCUGGACCACUACGUGCGUCGGCUUCACCUAGCCUGCUUGUUAAAAACCACAUUUCUGGCUCCAGGACCCCUGCAUGAGGACAGUGUGUGUAGACCCCGCACUGCUGUCCAGCCCCUGCCCUACAACUGCAAUAGACUUCACCCCACAACUACCCUAAGUUGGUGCACGUGCAGACAGGUGGGACUGUGUAUCCUGCUUUCCGGCCUUCGGUGGGGAUAAAUCUCUCUGAAAUGUCUCUUAAUGGGACCCUUUUCUCUACCCCCGUUUGUUUCUCUCACUGUCUCUCCUGUGCCCUUUGGAGAUUUCAUAAGCAACGCUUAUCACUGGGGCAAGAGCCAAGAUCAGGCUCGGGGCAAAAAUGAACCACGGAGGAGGAGGCUGCAGAAGUGAGAGAGAGGGCCUGCAAGAAGCGCUGCUCUUAAACGUGGGAAGAAGUAAGAGUUGGAGAUAUAUUUGGGAGUCACGCAGAAGCCACAACCAAGGGAGGGAAGCUCAGCAAGAGGGCAGGGGAGGAGAGAAGACAGUCUGGCAAUAAGAGCCCAGAGGAGUCUCCUGGAGCGUGCAGCAAGAGAAAAAACCCACAAAAACCAUAAAGGCCAAGCUCAAAGGGCCAGCUUUGAAGGCGUCUUCUGAACGCCAGUGAAUGUGCCCGUGUUGCACGUGUGAGAAAAGAGAAUUUCAAAGAUGUGCGUAUUUUUAUGGAAAGUGACCUGACCCACCCUCCUGAAGUUCAAAAGGCAAAUGUGUCAGGACGAAUGGUCUCUGGGCUGUCAGAACGCCUGGGCCACACAGGGGUCCUCCAGGCAGCAGACCGGAGACACUAGUCUUUGAAGGGAGGGCGAGGUGGCGUUGGGGGCAGGCAGGGAAGCAGAGUAAAUUCCAGAGCUCCUCUGACUGUGCCCUAGGGCAGCGCGUCCCAGCCUGCUGGAUCACACAGAAAAUAACAUUUCCUAAAGAACUUGGGGCACUGACGUAAAGGUGACAACUUCUUCUUUUGCCAAAUAAGGAAGUUAAGAAAUUAACUAUUGCCUUUUCAUAAAAGAAAGGAGCUUUCAGUACUGAAAAGCGGAAGGUUAUAGUCGCAGAGUAAAGUAUUGUCAUUUAAAUGGAGUACAUUUCACCUUAAGAAAAACUAUGUUUUCUAUUUUUCAUUGAACGUCUUGAAAACUCCACCUGAGUGGCUGCUGGGAGCUGCCUGGAGGAGAUGGCGCUCCUUCACAGUUUCCUUCAAGGUGUUCUGGGAGGAGCCACUGAGGAGCAGCCUGGCUUGGCUCAGG